rnacentral:pre_miRNA from 1 species
AUCACCCAGGGAUCUUGUUAAAAUACAGAUUCUGAUUCAAUAGGUUUGGGGUAGGGCUUAAGAUCCUGCAUUUCUAACAAGCUCCCAGAUGAUGCUGA